rnacentral:rRNA from 1 species
GACGAACGCUGGCGGCGUGCCUAAUACAUGCAAGUUGAGCGCUGAAGGUUGGUACUUGUACCGACUGGAUGAGCAGCGAACGGGUGAGUAACGCGUGGGGAAUCUGCCUUUGAGCGGGGGACAACAUUUGGAAACGAAUGCUAAUACCGCAUAAAAACUUUAAACACAAGUUUUAAGUUUGAAAGAUGCAAUUGCAACACUCAAAGAUGAUCCCGCGUUGUAUUAGCUAGUUGGUGAGGUAAAGGCCCACCAAGGCGAUGAUACAUAGCCGACCUGAGAGGGUGAUCGGCCACAUUGGGACUGAGACACGGCCCAAACUCCUACGGGAGGCAGCAGUAGGGAAUCUUCGGCAAUGGACGAAAGUCUGACCGAGCAACGCCGCGUGAGUGAAGAAGGUUUUCGGAUCGUAAAACUCUGUUGGUAGAGAAGAACGUUGGUGAGAGUGGAAAGCUCAUCAAGUGACGGUAACUACCCAGAAAGGGACGGCUAACUACGUG